UACGGGGGGGGCAAGCGUUGUUCGGAAUUACUGGGCGUAAAGGGCUCGUAGGCGGCCAACUAAGUCAGACGUGAAAUCCCUCGGCUUAACCGGGGAACUGCGUCUGAUACUGGAUGGCUUGAGGUUGGGAGAGGGAUGCGGAAUUCCAGGUGUAGCGGUGAAAUGCGUAGAUAUCUGGAGGAACACCGGUGGCGAAGGCGGCAUCCUGGACCAAUUCUGACGCUGAGGAGCGAAAGCCAGGGGAGCAGACGGG
rnacentral:rRNA from 1 species